rnacentral:misc_RNA from 1 species
AUGAAACGGGGCCACGAGCCUAAGCCGGCCUUCGGUGGAGCAGGUGAGGCGGGACCAGGCGUGAUGGCAGAACGCCCCCUGGUUCCAGCCUGUCCCACGGGCCGGCCCGGACGGCUCCAGCGCCAUCUCCUGAGCGGCGAAUUCGACCAGCUGCGAGACUUCCCCAUCUUUGAGAGCAACUUCGUGCAGGUGACCCGGUUAGGAGAAGUUGCCAACAAGGUCACCAUGGGAGUGGCAGCCUCCAGUCCAGCCCUGGAACUCCCAGACCUGUUGCUUCUGGCGGGCCCUGCCAAGGAGAAUGGACACCUGCAGCUCUUCGGGCUGUUCCCCUUGCAGUUCGUCCAGCUCUUCGUCCACGACGAAAGCCGCUGGCAGCUCAAGGUCAAGUUCCGCACUGGCCGUGCCUUCUACCUGCAGCUGCGGGCCCCGCCCGAGAGCCGCGACCGCGAGUUCGGCCAGUGGGUGCGCCUGCUCUACCGCCUGCGCUUCCACUCGGCCCAGGGAGCCGUGCCUUUCACGCAGGACUACUCGGCGCUGGAGGACGACGAGGACGAUGACGAAGACGAGGACCGCGAUCUGCCAGCGGGAGAGCUUCAAGCCAUGGAAGCCAGACUUGACCCACAGAUGUCUGAACUCUGGGGACUCUGA